CAUCACCAAAACACAAUUUUGUCAUGAAUCCAUCUGUGUCCAUUGUUUAAUAUUCACAUAGACCAAGGUGAGCGACACAGGCUCUUUAGAGCCUCUAGUUUUGAAAUCCUUGAAAUUAUUGUUGUUUCUUGAACAUGUGAAUUUUAUUAUUAUCACAGAAAAAUCUCAUGCUAAGCAUCUUGAAAAUGUUAAUUUAUUAUUAUUAUUGUGAGGAAUCUCAUGUUAAACAGCUACAGAGGACCUUGAGUGAGAAGGAUGCCAAUAGUAAAAAAAUCAUGGAAUAAUUUAACAUUCAUUUGAUAAUGUUUAGCAUAUGCUACACAAAAAUCCAAAUAAAUACAGCCCUUAUUUGUAUUUGUCAAACAAUUCCUUUAGAUUUCAUUGGUCAUCUGCACAAAUUUUGACCAAAAUGGUACACAAUUCUCUUAGUUAUUUCAGUGAAUUUGCUUGCCAUGAUAGUAUUUUUUUUCUUCAAAAAUUACAUAGCGCUAUUAGGGUUGUUGUAUUUAUGCUGUUUUAAUGUUAUUACAAAAAUAAUAAACAAAUAUCUUGCAGCAAUUUUCUAUUUAAUGAGAUUCUGCGAAGAUUGUCAAAUUCUUUAAAAUGUCAUUGGAGAUGACUGACAGUUACUUUUCAGACCAAUUUUUAGAUAGAAGAGUGUAUCAACAUGUUUCUCUUUCUUGGUACCCAAAUACCUAAUACUUUUGAAACCUACCGCUAAAGAAAAUGGUAGUCCAUACUCAAAAUUUCCAGAGAUGAACCAUGCAUAAUAUUGACAUAAUGUUUGGUGCUACAUGUAUUAUCGUCAUGCAGAAAAUGUGCUUAAAUUUCAUGAUGCUGUUAAGAAUGUGAUUAAUAGAAAGGAAUUGAUGUAGCCUUGUUUUUUUUUAUUGUUUCUUAUGCUUCAAUGAGUGGCAAGGUGUGCUAGAUUGUGCUAUUUGUAUGAUUGAAUGAGUGACAAGGUGUGCUAGAUUGUUCUAUUUGUAUGAUUGAAUGAGUGGCAAGGUGUGCUAGAUUGUUCUAUUUGUGUGAUUGAAUGAGUGGCAAGGUGUGCUAGAUUGUGCUAUUUGUAUGAUUGAAUGAGUGGCAAGGUCUGCUAGAUUGUGCUAUUUGUAUGAUUGAAUGAGUGGCAAGGUGUGCUAGAUUGUUUUAAUUUUAAAAGCUUAAAUCAUGUUACUUAUCUGAUUUGUUCAGGAAAAAAAUUGAAUCAUGUGAAAAAUUAGUUAGCAUUGUAGAUUGCAUGUGUAAUAUUGAAAUCAUGUCAGGCAUGGUAAGAAUGUGGUAUGGAUCGGUAGCUGAUAUUGUUCUCUUGAUUUGUGAGAUAUUUAUAAAGUCAUUUUAAAACUUACUUGAAUUGCAAAAAUAUAUACUUUUAUAACAUAUUUGGGUUUCACACUAGUUUUGAGUAAGAUAGAUUUUAAAAAAUAGGUUUGGUUGCUUUUUUGUAAUAACAAAAUUUGUAGGAUUGUAUUUCCAGUUAUUACAAAUUCUUGAAAAAAUGUUUGUGAUAAAAAAUUGUCAUAGGGAUCAAAUGAUUAUUAUAAAUAUUUAAAUGGACCAUAUAAAUGUCUAACAUUUGGGUAAGAAAGCGAAUGACUGAGGAAAAAUUAAAUGCUGUGAUUUUGAGGAAUAAAUAUGUUUUUGUUAUGUUUUGUAUGAUGCUGAAAAUGUGAUAAAUAAAUCUAAUUAAUAUAAA
rnacentral:lncRNA from 1 species